CAGCCGCCACGGUAAUACGAAGGGUGCAAGCGUUAAUCGGAAUUACUGGGCGUAAAGCGUGCGUAGGUGGUGGUUUAAGUCCGUUGUGAAAGCCCUGGGCUCAACCUGGGAAUUGCAGUGGAUACUGGAUCACUAGAGUGUGGUAGAGGAUAGUGGAAUUUCCGGUGUAGCAGUGAAAUGCGUAGAGAUCGGAAGGAACAUCUGUGGCGAAGGCGACUAUCUGGGCCAACACUGACACUGAGGCGCGAAAGCGUGGGGAGCAAACAGGAUUAGAUACCCCGGUAGUCCCUGUCUCUUAUAC
rnacentral:rRNA from 1 species